ACCUCAGUAACGGCGAGUGAAGCGGUAACAGCUCAAAUUUGAAAGCUAGCUCUUUUAGGGUUCGCAUUGUAAUUUGUAGAAGAUGCUUCGGGUGUGGCCCCGGUCUAAGUUCCUUGGAACAGGACGUCAUAGAGGGUGAGAAUCCCGUAUGUGACUGGGUGCUUUCGCUCAUGUGAAGCUCUUUCGACGAGUCGAGUUGUUUGGGAAUGCAGCUCAAAAUGGGUGGUAAAUUUCAUCUAAAGCUAAAUAUUGGCCAGAGACCGAUAGCGCACAAGUAGAGUGAUCGAAAGAUGAAAAGCACUUUGGAAAGAGAGUUAAACAGUACGUGAAAUUGUUGAAAGGGAAGCGCUUGCAACCAGACUUGCGCGCUGAUGAUCAUCCGGGCUUCUGUCCGGUGCACUCGUCUGCGCUCAGGCCAGCAUCGGUUUCGGUGGUGGGAUAAAGGCCUUGGGAAUGUAGCUUCUUUCGGGGAGUGUUAUAGCCCUCGGUGCAAUGCCGCCUACCGGGACCGAGGACCGCGCUUCGGCUAGGAUGCUGGCGUAAUGGUUGUAAGCGACCCGUCUUGAAACACGGACCAAGGAGUCUAACAUCUAUGCGAGUGUUUGGGUGUCAAACCCAUACGCGUAAUGAAAGUGAACGGAGGUGAGAACCCUUAAGGGUGCAUCAUCGACCGAUCCUGAUGUCUUCGGAUGGAUUUGAGUAAGAGCAUAGCUGUUGGGACCCGAAAGAUGGUGAACUAUGCGUGAAUAGGGUGAAGCCAGAGGAAACUCUGGUGGAGGCUCGCAGCGGUUCUGACGUGCAAAUCGAUCGUCAAAUUUGCGUAUAGGGGCGAA
rnacentral:rRNA from 1 species